ensembl:rRNA 5S_rRNA 5S ribosomal RNA
GUUUACAGCCAUACCACCCUGAACAUGUUGAAUCUCAUCUAAUCUCAGAAGCUAAGCAGAGUCAGGCCUGGGUAAUACUUGGAUGGCAAAAAAAAGAUCAAAAUACUGCCAAUU